GCCCGGUUAGCUCAAUCGGUAGAGCGUGAGACUCUUAACAGAAUUCACAUCAUCUCAAGGUUGCGGGUUCGACCCCCGCAUCGGGCU
rnacentral:tRNA from 1 species